GGUAACGAACGGCUUCGGCGGCGUGACCUACUAACAUAGCAAGUAGGACGCACAGUUUAUACCGUAGCUUGCUACACCAUAGACUGUGAGUUGCGAACGGGUGAGUAACGCGUAGGUAACCUGCCUAUUAGAGGGGGAUAACUAUUGGAAACGAUAGCUAAUACCGCAUAACAGUAUGUAACACAUGUUAGAUGCUUGAAAGAUGCAAUUGCAUCGCUAGUAGAUGGACCUGCGUUGUAUUAGCUAGUAGGUAGGGUAAUGGCCUACCUAGGCGACGAUACAUAGCCGACCUGAGAGGGUGAUCGGCCACACUGGGACUGAGACACGGCCCAGACUCCUACGGGAGGCAGCAGUAGGGAAUCUUCGGCAAUGGGGGGAACCCUGACCGAGCAACGCCGCGUGAGUGAAGAAGGUUUUCGGAUCGUAAAGCUCUGUUGUUAAGGAAGAACGAGUGUGAGAAUAGAAAGUUCAUACUGUGACGGUACUUAACCAGAAAGGGACGGCUAACUACGUG
rnacentral:rRNA from 1 species